rnacentral:rRNA from 1 species
ACGGGAGGCAGCAGUGGGGAAUAUUGCACAAUGGGCGCAAGCCUGGUGCAGCGACGCCGCGUGAGCGAAGAAGUAUUUCGGUAUGUAAAGCUCUAUCAGCAGGGAAGAUAAUGACGGUACCUGACUAAGAAGCACCGGCUAAAUACGUGCCAGCAGCCGCGGUAAUACGUAUGGUGCAAGCGUUAUCCGGAUUUACUGGGUGUAAAGGGAGCGUAGGCGGUCAUGCAAGUCUGAUGUGAAAACCCGGGGCUCAACUUCGGGAUUGCAUUGGAAACUGUAAGACUAGAGUGUCGGAGGGGUAAGUGGAAUUCCUAGUGUAGCGGUGAAAUGCGUAGAUAUUAGGAGGAACACCAGUGGCGAAGGCGGCUUACUGGACGAUUACUGACGCUGAGGCUCGAAAGCGUGGGGAGCAAACAGGAUUAGAUACCCUGGUA